CCUACGGGUGGCAGCAGUGAGGAAUAUUGGUCAAUGGGCGCAAGCCUGAACCAGCCAAGUAGCGUGAAGGAUGACUGCCCUACGAGUUGUAAACUUCUUUUAUAAAGGAAUAAAGUGCGGCACGUGUGCCUUUUUGUAUGGACUUUAUGAAUAAAGAUCGGCUAACUCCGUGGCAGCAGCCGCGGUAAUACGGAGGAUCCGAGAGUUACCCGGAGUUAGUGGGGUUAAAGGGAGCGUAGAUGGGUUGUUAAGUCAGUUGUGAAAGUUUGUGGCUUAACCGUAAAAUUGCAAUUGAUACUGGCAGUCUGGAGUACAGUAGAGGUAGGUGGAAUUCGUGGUGUAGCGGUGAAAUGCUUAGAGAUCACGAAGAACUCUGAUUGCGAAGGCAGCUUACUAAACUGUAACUGACAUUGAUGCUCGAAAGUGUGGGGAUCAAACAGGAUUAGAUACCCGAGUAGUC
rnacentral:rRNA from 1 species